UACGUAGGGUGCAAGCGUUGUCCGGAAUUAUUGGGCGCAAAGAGCUCGUAAGGCGGUCUGUCGCGUCGGCUGUGAAAACCCGGGGCUCAACCCCGGGCCUGCAGUCGAUACGGGCAGACUAGAGUGUGGUAGGGGAGACUGGAAUUCCUGGUGUAGCGGUGAAAUGCGCAGAUAUCAGGAGGAACACCGGUGGCGAAGGCGGAUCUCUGGGCCAUUACUGACGCUGAGGAGCGAAAGCGUGGGGAGCGAACAGG
rnacentral:rRNA from 1 species